CCGGGCCCAAGUCCCCUGGAAAGGGGCGCCUCGGAGGGUGAGAGCGCCAUCCGUCCCGGACCCCGUCGCCUCACGAGGCGCCAUCAACGAGUCGGGUUGUUUGGGAAUGCAGCCCAAAUCGGGCGGUAGACUCCGUCCAAGGCUAAAUACAGGCGAGAGACCGAUAGCGAACAAGUACCGCGAGGGAAAGAUGAAAAGGACUUUGAAAAGAGAGUCAAAGAG
rnacentral:ncRNA from 1 species